rnacentral:lncRNA from 1 species
AACAGACAGAUUUUCUACCAAGUACAUCAAUUUCCUCAGUAUACUGGUAACCACCUAUCUACAAGGGAUGUUCCAAAAGUAUGGCCUCCUAUUUUAUUAUGUUGGCUUACGAUUUCAGAGGUGGAUGUUGGUGAUGUGACAGUAGAAGUUGAACAUUCUCACCAAUGUUGUUGCCAUGCAACAGAUGGCAGUGGAGGGGCAGUGUGACACAAUGGCAUCUGACGUGGAAGUGCACAGAAAGCAAAGAUCUGGUGAGAGCUGAGGCCAAGCAUGAACCUAUCCUGAAUUUAUCUCAAGUGCACUUCAGAUGCAGCGCAUGAUUGGAUCCCACCUGGUGUACUUGAAGAGCAGUCAUCCUUGAAAGAUAAACUCCUGACUUUUUUUCUUCCUUCUGAAAGCACGGAAAUGUUCAGUUCUGUUCUGCUCCUUUUUCUUGCCACUGAAGCAGUGUUUGUUGCCUCUAUAAAAUGGAACCAAACAAGAUGAUUAAAUGAUUCAUCAAAAAGAAAAACAGUAGUAGAUGGUCGCUGAUGAUUCUCAUCCUGAAUUUCUUACUGGACCCCUGCCAAUCCCUCACUAGCUUUGGCACCCGGAGGAAAACUGAAGCUUGUCUGUGGAGCAGCCUUGGUACUCACGGGGCAGUAUGCGUAACUAGUGUAAACUGAAAGCUGAGUAUACAUUCCCAAAACAUCACAGGUCUAACACCGUAGGCUAUUGCCAUAGCUGACUGCAAAACACUGAAUGCCAGAAACUGACAGUGGAGGUAUUCCUUCCUCAGGAUGUUUGCCUGUCUAGUCAUGAGUACACAGCUAUGCUGAGAUGUUGGAAGAGGUGUCACACGAUGAUACAUAAAAAUACAUCCUGUUAUCCUUAUCUUGACAGCUCAAUCAACCUGUCACCAAGUAGCAAAAGUAUUCUUCCAGUUUCCAUCAUAAUGAAAGAAAUAGUUCUCCUGUCCUAUGAUGAUUUCCACUGUGAAGAAAUAGUGUCUUACCAGAGCACAGGUAGACAGGGAGAAGAGGGAAAGUAAACUUUCGUUUGAGAGUUCAAUACGCAGAAUUGUUCUUCUUGUUUAUCUGCGGCACCUC